rnacentral:lncRNA from 1 species
AUUGAAUUAGUGUAGGCAGCUGAGGUGCUGGGGUUAAAGCACCCAAGAGGGAUUAGAAACACUGGGUUUGAGAACUGGUUCUGUGUUCUUGAAGCAAUUAUUAUACUGCUCCUCCAUCCAUGAUCCUCAGUUUCUUCACCUGAAAAGAAUGGAAAUAAUACACCCUGACUAACGUUUACAAUUCUAUUUGAAGACUCAAAUGAGAUAUUAGAGGAACACGGGGUAGGAAGGAAAUGGAGACACAGCCAACUUUUAAAAGGAUCUGAGCAGUGAGGGAGAGGGUGAGAGCAGGGGUCAUACUUGUAGGGUUUGGUCAAGGGAAUUUUUGUUGCUUUUCUUUUUUUCUUUUUAGGAUCACAGGGACAUGGACAUGCUUGUAAAAACAUAGUCCAAGGGACAUGUCAAAGAAGCCUAAGAAGUUGGAAGACUUUUAGAACAAGGUUCUGAUGGAGGCAGGACAACAUGGAGCAAGGUCAUAGGCAGAAGGAAUUUACUUAAAGAGGAGUAAAAAUAUCUGUUCUGUUACUAGGGUGGAAGAGGGAAGAACACUGCUAGUGCUGAGACUCUUUGAGGAAUGAAGGGGAAAUAAGGAAACUCAUCUUGGAUGGCCUCAACCUUCUUAAUGCAGUCAAACACAUUGUAAGAUCAUCUAUACUAGGUGGAAAAACUGAGGCUUGAAGAGAUGAAGUAAUUUCAUGGUUCCCACAGCUAAAGAUGAGAAGAUUGAAGGCAUGAUGACACAUAGGAGGCUCACUAAACUGCUGUCCAACUGAGCUCUUCUAAGGCUCCAUGUGUUCCAGGACCCUUGCAAGGCAGUAAAAGAGACAAGUACACAGCUGGAGAAUAACAGCACCCUCUUCAAACCCAGUCAAAUAAGGCAGAAGUAUGACAAGUGACUUUUCCCCAGGUCACCCCUAUUCCCUUCUCUAGACCCUCUUUUCAAGCCCAGUUCUCAGGGCUGCCUCUUCUCUCUUCUUUUUUUCUCUUUUGAGCUUUUCAACUAU